rnacentral:lncRNA from 1 species
UUUUAAGCUAAAUGAUCAGCAAAACAAGCCAGCCUAUCUAUCUAUUCGCAAUCUACGCGUGCGUUUCGAAAAUCGUUUUUGAAACCCCAGGUGCACGUCUGUAUACUGUUGACAAUGAACAAACCACCGAUCGACAGAAAGAGGCAAGCGAUGAACGGGAGGGGCGAAAAUACAAAGGCAGAAACAGAAAUGCUGAGCGGAGUACGGAGGAAGGGAGUCUGCGGAAAGAACUAGGCAGCUAUCACACGGACAAAGCGCCGGCUUGAAUCACGACCUUAACUAAAAAACGUUCGACAAACCUUAAAGGAGCCGCCACUUUCAAAAAAAAACUCUAUAAAAAUAACAAUCCAAGGUACUCAUCCCCUAUAAACAGGGAACUUCUUGAUUCUGAACGUUUACUCCCCGUACCUACUGCACGCACUCUAUACGCAACUGGAGUUGCUUCAGCAGACUCAUGUAUGGGGCGUGACCUCUCUUCGCAAAAACAUACGGUAGUUCAAGUGUACCUACUUCAACUAUACGUACGGAUGUGUGCCUAUGGAUUCUAACAGUUCACAGCUGGAGUUCGGCCCACAAUGGAAGAUGAGGCAAGGAUCGUAGCACACGCCCCCUUUAACGUCACACACAGCCG